UACGAAGGGGACUAGCGUUGUUCGGAAUUACUGGGCGUAAAGCGCACGUAGGCGGAUUUGUAAGUCAGGGGUGAAAUCCCGGGGCUCAACCUCGGAACUGCCUUUGAUACUGCAAAUCUCGAGUCCGAUAGAGGUGGGUGGAAUUCCUAGUGUAGAGGUGAAAUUCGUAGAUAUUAGGAAGAACACCUAUGGCGAAGGCAGCUCGCUGGGACGGUACUGACGCUGAGGCGCGAAAGCGUGGGGAGCGAACAGG
rnacentral:rRNA from 1 species